AUUGAAAUGCGGCAACACAAAAUCAUUUUCAAUUUCAGAAUCUGGUGUUCUGAAGCUGUCUGCUGCUGACCAUGCCUCGUCCGAUGAAUCGAUGGGCUCUCCAAAGGACGUCGCCCUUUGUUGCUGCUUCUUCUCCCAGGCUUCCCUUGUUGGCACGGCGGUCCGUAUCGGCCACUCUGUAUUCAUGCAUAAUCCAAUCGGUCUUCACUCCUCUCGGUGCUUUCCCGGAGUAAAAGACCAAGGCUUUCUUGAUUGCAAGAGUUGUCUUGCUCCCCUUGGUCGAGAUCGGCUUAUCAGCACCGGUCGCCUUCCAGUAUCCCUUCCCGGCAGACCGGUUCGGCCUCGAGCCGUUCGGGUACUUCCGGUCCCGAGUGCAGUACCUGGUAAUUCCCAAGGAUUGUACUUGUAUAGAUCAAUCUCGGCGAUGAUAGGGACGGGCAGGCGUUGGCAGGUUAUCUUCCGGCACAGGUAGUGCACGACGAGCUCUUCGUCGGAUGGGUGGAACCUGAAUCCCGGCGGCAGGUUGAGCUCGGCCUCCGCGUCUCUCUUCCUCGCCAUCCGUUGUCUCCUCUGCUGGCUGACAGCCAAGAAAUUCUGACCGUGGGACUCGCGACGACUGUCCGAGUCAACACGCCCGAGUCGGAGGGAACAAAACGUCGUACCGUCGACAAGCCUUCAGGAAAAGGGUUUGACAACCCCACCCCGGUGUCGAGCCCUUUUCCUUGACCCCUUUGUUUCCUCACACGCUGAUGAGUUAAGGACAGCUCAGCCGAGGAUAAGCGUUGCCUUGAACUUAAUAUUAUCGACGGUGCAUAUCUAAUUAAAAGUGAUAUAUUAUCGUAUAACAUUGAUAAAUAUUUGACCUACGAAUUAAUUUUCAUGAUCUAAAGAUUUUAAUGAAAUAGGGUGGUUUUGAAGCCUCCUGACCACAUCUGUCGUUAUGUAAAGAAAAUAAUUAAAAACCGAUCCGACACGUGUCCCGAUCAGAUGAUGUGGAUAUGUUCUGGUGCUUUCCGCAGGCGCGAUUCUGUUUGGUUGGAUCAUGCGGUGAUGAGGUAAUCCAGCUGUGUCGAUCAUUUUUGUGGCACAUUCUUGAUGUUGCAGUCCACCAUAAGCGUGCAUGUAGGCAAUUUAUAAAGGUUUGGUGAAGGAGCGGUGGUGGUCGUUUUAGUAGAUUGCUCGACUUCCGAAAAGAGGGAUUAUUAAAAGGAUGUUUCAAAAUCUACCAAAGAAUUUCCUGGUUUUUGAGUGAUAUUUCAAUUUCAAUUUGAUUUUUAGACAGCAAUUUUUACUAAUUCUUGAAAUUAAAGUUUUUCCUUGAAUCAUCUUUUCAAUCCAAAUUUUACACAUUUAUCCCAACAUAUGAUCAAAGGACGACACGAUUAGUGUUUUAUCCGGCAAUUUGAAAUGUGUCUCUGACUAGAAUCUGAUACGUGGAACACGAUUCGCGAAUCGGUGCGUUGAAGUGACACAUGUAUGGAUCAAUUCCUUACACAUGUAAGCUACCAUAAUUUACAUGUUGAGAUGGUGCCAGAAUUUGCUACUGAUAAGGUUGUGGCGGUAGAUGGGUUGGUGAUAACCGAGAACAGUUUGCCGCCUCGUACGUUAUGGAAACUAAAACAUGUAAUGCGAGGAAAAUAUGUUGUGUUUUAGAGGACACUUUGGUCAGCACCUGUAGUCCAUUGUCGGUACACUUAAAGCUAGUCCUUUUGGCUUCACCCAUGUGGAUGCGACGGUGAACAUUGCAAGGAUGGAAAUCUUAGAAGCGCGUUCAGUUAACGUGGCACUGGUGCAAGCACAAUCCGAGUCCGAUAGCGAUGUCAUCUACAGCGUUGCUCUUGAUUUGAUGUACAUUAAUUUCAGAGAAAGCAUAUGAUUCAUACAGUUUUUUUAUUUUUAUUUUUAUUUUUAUAAAGGGUAAAUGAUGACAGUGAGAUCCAAUCUUUAGACUAUGUUAUCAACAAUUAAGGUUUUCCCAUGCUAACCUCUUUAUCAAUCAACCAUCUAUGUGUCUAGGUUGAAAGGAGACAAAAGCUAUGCCUUAUCGAUCUGGCCCGUGGAUAUGGGUUAAUACUUAUGAGUUGUCUACACUUUUGUUAUCUAUGUGAAAAAAUAUCAAAUUAAGGGUGUUAAAAGCGGUUCAAAGUUAUCCCCUAAAAAAUAUUCUAUAAAAUGUCAUUCCUUUACUAUCAAGUAUAAAAAUUACUUUUAACAUAAUCUAGGGUCACUUUGUACUAUUGGCGAUUACACUCAUCUACUCCGGGUAAUUAAUUUAGGUGUCGAAGGGACUAGCUUAGGAAACCUCUCUCGACUUCGAUAUUUAUGUAGGUGGCAUCUUAGAUAAUCUUAUCGAGAGCUUGACAUUCUUACUAUUGUCACUCCUUUUUUGCCCCAUCUGGUCCAACAAACGAUGCUACCAACUCAGCUGCAAUCCUCGGCUCCACCGCUAUUGGCAUCCAUUGAGAUUCUCCAUCCCGACACGGUGUCGACAUCGCAGGAGCACCUGAGGGCCAUCUAAUCGUAGACUGAGGGGGUACUUUGGUCCCCGACCAUAGAAUUUAGCGGAUCAUACCACCCUCACUCUGCUCCCCUGAAUCCAAGACUAAGUCUGAUAGGGAUAAAAGUGGCCGGAUGACGCGCCAUGACGACAUCCCCCCAGGAAAGCAAUAACGCUGACAACUCCCACUGUCGUGCGACGACCUCCGACCUCGCACAGUUGACCACGGCAAAGCAGGACAACGACCUGCCCCCGCCCAUACCCUGCUGCAAGCUGCCCCGCCACGCGACCCCAGCGGCCGCGUCAGACACCAUCAGAGGCACCAUCUCACUCCAGCAGGUGGCCACGUCAGGUAAACGCUAAACCUAUCUAUAAAUACCCCCGAACUCUCAAGAGAAGGGGGAGGGAAACUCACUCAGACACAAAACACUCAGAGGCUCUUCUUCUGCCUCAUCCACAAUCCCCUCCACAUCUUUCUCUAACUUGAUCGUCGGAGGGGUCGGGCCGAGCUCCCGGCCCGACCUGUGUGCAGGUGCGAGACGGUGUCGCCUCUUCCCGAAGCUGCGGCGGAGCUGCCUCCCGACCCGAGCCGCCGACCCGAACCGCCGACCCGACCUGUCGAACCGACCUCGGAGCUGCCUCCCGACCCGAGCCGCCAACCCGAACCGCCGACCCGACCUGCCGAACCGACCUCCCGACCCGAACCACCGAGCUCGGCCGUCGGGAGACCUGGAGGAGCGCUCCCACGGAGAUCACCGCCUUCCGGACCCGAACCCAGCCGCGACGGCCCCGAGGCCACGGCUAAAAAAGUUACUUACCGUAACAAAGUCAGUAGACUUGACGGAGGGUUCCUUACAACAGAUGGACCAACGUUUGGAGGAGAUGCAACGAGAGUUCCAACAAUCAAAUGGGGAGGCGUCGAUCAACCCCACCUUAGGCUAGUCGUCAUUCACCCAGAAAAUCUAGUAGGAAUUGAUUCCAAUGAACUUUCGUCUCCUAUCCUUGGAAGCGUUCAAUGGGUGAAGGAGUUUGAACUUUACUUCCUUGGGAAUGUAUGCCCUUAGCCUUUAACGAUAACACUCCACGGACUUAAGCAGGAGGAGGAAGAAAUGCUCGCAGACUUCAUCGCUCGGUUCAUAAAUAAGAUCCGAGGCGUAAUAGAUGUCCAUCCAUCACUCAUAAUAUAUACCUUCAUGAUGGGGCUCAUGCCCUCUCGCCUCUUUUGGUCAUUGAUAAAGAGGUUAUUGGUAACUAUAUCUGAGGCACUUCAAAGGACCAAUCAAUACAUUGCUACCGAGGCAAUAGUCUCGGGCAAGCGUGAGAAGUCACGCAAGAAGUUAAAGCAGGAGUGACCACAAUCAGCCCCAACCCAAGGUCACCGUGAUGAAGAAGAAAUAAAUGACCCAACUUACCUCGCCCAAGGCCUGAGCUGACCUCUUUAAAUAUGACUAAAACCAAAGUUUUCCUACAAAUAUGGAAGGAGGGACUCUUAAGCAGCCCUCACCUAAUGAAAACCCUGUUCGUGAAAAGAGAUAAGUUUAAAUAUUUUCGGUUCCAUCGAGAUUAUGGCCAUGACACUGAAGAAUGUCAUGACCUGAAAGAGCAUAUUGAAGAGCUCAUACGGUAAGGGUACCUUGGGUGGUUUGUUCGAAAGCACCGGGAACCCUCACCUCGACCUCAAGGGCUGAUGGAGAGGUAGAUUGAGGGCAAUGGUGUCGACUUACCACAUUGUAACGGACAAACUUCUAAACAAGAUGUUGGAUGUAAUGCUUAUGUCUGUCCGUUGUCUUUUGGCAUGUUCAUGCCUUGUACAGCAGGUAGAGGGACGGCCGAAGGCUAAAUAGUCCCAUGUUAGUUGGGUUGGUGGCCUCUUUAGGCUUGUAAAUAAAGGUUGUGUCAUGUGGACACGUGCGAGAGCUUUUCGGUCUGUAAUGGACCAUUUUACCCUUUGUUGUGCAACUAUUCAGAGCUUGUAAAGUCUGUUUGUAAUUUGCAUUGUCUAUGAAGUGUUUUUCGGACAUGUUUGCUUGUGGAUCCCGAUUGAGGCGUUCUCUUUAACCCGUUCUCUCUUUUGUUGGUCCUAAGGGACAAUGGGAGGCUUCGGGGAGGCUGACCUUUGCGGACGGACGCGCGAGGGUGCCGCACGCCUUAGGCAAAAUCAGCUAAGGUCGUGACAAUAUGGUAUCAGAGCGGGACAAGCACUCAUAGAAACACUUGACAUGCAAACGUGGGGGACCUAGCGGGGCUGCGUUGAGGGCAGUCAGCACACGCGCGACCGUUUGAGGGAAAACGGGCAUGGAGAUGUAGGGAAAAGAGUCGCUCAGAGGAGCGAGCAUCCGAGAUUGGCAUUCAGAGGAAUGGCCAACCCUUCGCGCAAGAGGCACCACGAGAACAGGCAAGCUUGGUUGAAUUUGGAGCGCACAAAGGUUGGG